ensembl:lncRNA
GUCGGAAUUACAGAUCCAAAGUAAGCAAUGUAGUGCAUGCCGGGGUCUUGAACUUGUCAAAGAAAAUAGUGUCUGUACUUUUGCUUAGGGGUGUGUGGUAAGCAUUUGCCUUUCUCUUUCAAAUAUACUGCCAAACUGUUGGCAGAAAUGGUUUCUGAAUGCAGAAAAGUGCCAAUUUUUUAUUUCUAAUCAACAAAAGUUCUGCCUCCUCGAGCGUGCAUGUCAUCCCUGCCAUGAUUACCCUAAUUCCAUGGGUUUGCUUUCUUGUGGACUCUUGUGAGGCUUUGCCGGAGAGGGGACUGUUUGUGUGUUUACAGGUACAAUAAAGAGUUGUGUUGUUGCCGCAGACUGUUGACUUAAAAUAGGGCUAUGCAACAAGACGACACUUCAUCCGGCCUGUAGCUUUACCCUGUGGAUUCUCCAGGUUCAGGCUUUGGUGUGACUGCGACCAAAUUUUACAUUCCUGUAUGAAAAGUUGUAAACUGUAAAUGUAUCUUGUGAUGUACACUUAACUGACAACACGUCCUGAGGCACAGAUGCUGUCCGAGCUGAUGUAUGUGAAUCACAGGGCAUUUUUGAAGUUGGCAAGUUGACUGCAUGCCACCUACCCAGAUAGAUCCUCCCGAAAUAUAAAACUCUUCUUUCCAGACUUGGGUUGAGUUGUGUUUUUGAAGAGCUUUUGAUGGUUUUUAAAUUUGCUUGGAAAGCCAGAUGAACGGGAUUGACAAAGUGGGUUUAGGGCUCAAAUGACACAAGAAUGAAUUAACCUUUAGUGGUACGAGUGCUGCUUUGCUUGACUUCAUUCAGUCCAUGAUUUGUACGAUUUGUUUCCUGGUUGUAUUUUCUGAUCAACACACAGUAUAUGUUUUUCACGUGAAGACAAAAAAAAGAAAAGGAAAGAAGGAGGAGCUUGCUGGAAUACCGUUACAUCACAGAGCUGCCAAGCUGGAAACAAGUUCUGAAGUAACUGAGUCCUCCGCUGCCUGAUCUGAUAUUGACUCUGCCACAGUCAUUUUAACUGUACCCAUAG